GCUACCUGCAGUCGGACGGUAGCACAGAGGAGCUUGCUCCUUGGGUGACGAGUGGCGGACGGGUGAGUAAUGUCUGGGGAUCUGCCCGAUAGAGGGGGAUAACCACUGGAAACGGUGGCUAAUACCGCAUAACGUCGCAAGACCAAAGAGGGGGACCUUCGGGCCUCUCACUAUCGGAUGAACCCAGAUGGGAUUAGCUAGUAGGCGGGGUGAUGGCCCACCUAGGCGACGAUCCCUAGCUGGUCUGAGAGGAUGACCAGCCACACUGGAACUGAGACACGGUCCAGACUCCUACGGGAGGCAGCAGUGGGGAAUAUUGCACAAUGGGCGCAAGCCUGAUGCAGCCAUGCCGCGUGUAUGAAGAAGGCCUUCGGGUUGUAAAGUACUUUCAGCGGGGAGGAAGGCGGUGA
rnacentral:rRNA from 1 species